rnacentral:rRNA from 1 species
GGUUCGAUCAUAGCUCAGAUUGAACGCUGGCAGGAUGCUACAUGCAAGUCGAACGGCAGCCUGGACUUCAGUCUGGUGGCGAGUGGCGAACAGGUGAGCGUAUCCGGAACGUGCCUAGUAGCGGGGGAUAACCGCGAAAAGCGUAGCUAAUACCACAUACGCCCUUCGGGGAAAGCGGGGGACCUUCGAGCUCUCGCACUAAAACGGCCGAUAUCGGAUUAGCUAGUUGGUGGGGUAACGGCUCACCAGGCGACGAUCCGUAGCUGUAGUUUGAGAGGACGACCAGCCACACUGGGACUGAGACACGGCCCAGACUCCUACGGGAGGCAGCAGUGGGGAAUUUUGGACAAUGGAAACCUGAUCCAGCCAUCCCGCGUGUGCGAUGAAGGCCUUCGGGUUGUAAAGCACUUUUGGCAGGAAAGAAACAGCGGCACGGGAUAAUACCCCGUGCAACUGACAGUACCUGCAGAAUAAGCACCGGCUAACGUGCCAGCAGCCGCGGUAAUACGUAGGGUGCAAGCGUUAAUCGGAAUUACUGGGCGUAAAGCGUGCGCAGGCGGUUCGGAAAGAAAGAUGUGAAAUCCAGAGCUUAACUUUGGAACUGCAUUUUUAACUACCGAGCUAGAGUGUGUCAGAGGAGGUGGAAUUCCGCGUGUAGCAGUGAAAUGCGUAGAUAUGCGGAGGAACACACCGAUGGUGAAGGCAGCCUCCUGGGAUAACACUGACGCUCAUGCACGAAAAGCGUGGGGAGCAAACGGGAUUAGAUACCCUGGUAGUCCACGCCCUAAACGAUGUCAACUAGCUGUUGGGGCCUUCGGGCCUUGGUAGCGCAACUAACGCGUGAAGUUGACCGCCUGGGAGUACGGUCGCAAGAUUAAAACUCAAAAGGAAUUGACGGGGACCCGCACAAGCGGUGGAUGAUGUGGAUUAAUUCGAUGCAACGCGAAAAACCUUACCUACCGCUUGACAUGUCUGGAAUCCCGAAGAGAUUUGGGAGUGCUCGCAAGAGAACCGGAACACAGGUGCUGCAUGGCUGUCGUCAGCUCGUGUCGUGAGAUGUUGGGUUAAGUCCCGCAACGAGCGCAACCCUUGUCAUUAGUUGCUACGAAAGGGCACUCUAAUGAGACUGCCGGUGACAAACCGGAGGAAGGUGGGGAUGACGUCAAGUCCUCAUGGCCCUUAUGGGCCAGGGCUUCACACGUCAUACAAUGGUCGGGACAGAGGGUCGCCAGCCGCGAGGGGGAGCCAAUCCCAGAAACCCGAUCGUAGUCCGGAUCGCAGUCUGCAACUCGACUGCGUGAAGUCGAAUCGCUAGUAAUCGCGGAUCAGCAUGUCGCGGUGAAUACGUUCCCGGGUCUUGUACACCGCCCGUCACACCAUGGGAGUGGGUUUUACCAGAAGUAGUUAGCCUAACCGUAAGGAGGCGAUUACCACGGUAGGAUUCAUGACUGGGGUGAAGUCGUAGCAAGGUAACUCUGUUACUACAAUUAACCAG